rnacentral:rRNA from 1 species
GGAGUAUCGACCCUCUCUGUGCCGAAGCUAACGCUUUAAGUACCCCGCCUGGGGAGUACGGUCGCAAGACUAAAACUCAAAGGAAUUGACGGGGGCCCGCACAAGCAGCGGAGCGUGUGGUUUAAUUCGAUGCUACACGAAGAACCUCACCAAAGCUUGACAUGUUAGAAGUAGUGAACUGAAAGGGGAACG